CUAUAUACCUGGCAGGGAGAUACCAUGCUCAAGAAGGUGGUUCACACCAGGGAGAGGCUUAAACCAUUGCACUCCGGUUAUGCUGACCCCUGCGAAUUCCCCAAAUGUGGGAAUCUCGACUGCAUAAUUUGUGGUAGGGGGGGGACUGCGUUCGCGCUCUCCCCCA